GAAUGGUUUGGGUUGGAAGGGACCUUAAGGAUCACCUAGUUUGGGUUGGAAGGAACCUUAAGGACCACAUAGUUCCAACCCUCUGCCAUGGGCAGGGACACCUUGCACUGGACCAGAUUGCUCCAAGCCCAGUCCAGCCUGUCCUUGAACACUGCCAGGAAUGGGGAAUCCACAGCUUCAUUGGGCAGCCUGUGCCAGGGCCUGACCACCCUCACAACAAAGAAUUUCUUCCCAGUGCCUAAUCUAAAUAUCUUCUCUUUUAGUUUAAAACCAUUCCCCCUUGUCCUGGCACCACCUGCCUGUGUAAAAAGUCCCUCACCCACUGUUUUAUAAGCUCCCUUCAAGUACUGGAAGGCUGCAAUGAGUUCUUCCUGAAGCUGUUUUCAAGACUCAACAACCCCAUCUCUCUUGCCUGUCUCCACAGGAGAGCUGCUCCAUCCCUCUGAUCACAUUUGUGGCCCCUUUGGACCCUCUUCAGCAGGUCCAAGACUUUCUGAUGUUGCAGGGCCCAGACUGGAUGCUGUGCUCCGGGUGGGGCCUCACAAGGGCACAGCAGAGCUGGGGAAUCCCCUCCCUUGGCCCUCUGAUCACACUGCUUUGGACACAGCCCAGGAUUUGGCUGUUCUUCUGUGCUCUGUGCAUGUCCAGCCUUUCAUCCACUAGAGACCCCAAGUCCUUCUCCACAGGGCUGCUCUCAGUGACAUCUUCUCCCAGUCCAUACCCACGUCUGGGAUUGCCCAGUGACCAGCACCUGCCACUUGGACUUCCUGAAGUUUGUGAGUUUCCCAUGGGCCUGCUUCUCCAGUUCCCUCUGGGUGAUCUCCCAUCCUUCAGGAGUGUCACCUGCCCCACUCAGCUUGGUGUCACCUGUAAAUUUGCUGAGGGCAUCCUCAGUCCCACAGUCUGUGGGAGAUGGAGAUUGAUGCUACUGAUGGAAAUAAUAAAGAGUGCCAGUGCCAAGACAGAGCUCUGAGAGACAGUGCUUGUCACUGGCCUCCACCUGGACACAGAGCCAUUGACUGCAGCUCUCUGGCUGCAGCAAUCCAGCCAGUUCCCUAUCCCAAACAGUCCACCUUUCAAAUCCGUGUGUCUCCCACCUGGGCAUAAGGAUGUCAUGUGUUGGAGGCCUAUUGUGAUAACAUAGGGCUAACACACACACACACACACACACACAGAGUGGCCGCCAAGCUGUAACAGAUGGCAUCAGGGGCACUGCUUUCCUGGCUCCAGAGCAGUGCUGUUUUGCAGGAUUUGGGUUCUUUAAAUGAUCUUUAAGCAUCCAGAGUGACGGCAUCUACUGGGUCUCUGGAGGGGCACAGCCAGGCUGAAUGCAACAGAAUCCCACAGUGCUCCACACAAGUACUUGGCACCACGUGCUGCCUCCAAGUUAGUGGGUGCCUGGGUUGAUUCCUUAGCCAGAAUAUUUGUCUCAGCAGCCUUCAAGAAAUAGAGGACUCCAAGCCAACUCCUACAACAAUUAAAGUCUCCAGCACUAUGCCCGGUAGAAUCCACACUGAAACUUCUGCCAAGACUCAUCCAAGUGCUGGCCUAGGAAAGCAAGAGAGAAAUUCCCUUAGACAGUUUGCAAAAGCUCGGUUUUAGUUCAUGAGUGCUGCAGAUUUAUCAGAAGAGAUGGGAAGUGUUGAGCAUACCUUGACUGGCUGUCUCCAUGCUGAGUUCCAUCACAUGCUGAGUUUAAACUGGGUUGGCCACAAGCCUUUUGGAUGCGAGCACGGAAACCACUCCAUGACAGUGUAAGCCCAACCAGGGCUUUGGGUUCUUUCUUCUCUGUCCCCAGAAGCAAUGAUUGGAUAGAGAGGUUGAAGGACCAAGAGAUCCCCUUCAGCUCCUUUUCCUUGAGGCUGUCUUAUAUACCCCUGAGGGAACAGACCCUAGAUUAAAUCUUUUUCAUGUCCUAGCACAUGGCAACUCAGAAACCAGUAGGGUUUCCAGGCAACUGCUGCAUUCUCUUGAGAAAGAGCAUCUCCAGCCUGCUUUGCCCCUAGAAAUACUUCACUCAAACCAUGCAUGAAUGGCAGAGAUGUAUCUGGAUGUUCAUAGAAUAAAUGACACAAACUUCUGUCAUAGCUUAAAGUUUGUUUUCAUUAUGGUGGGGUGAAAUGAAGAGCUUUAUUUACCUGCAAAAGCAGAUAUCUAUUAUCUAUCCAUAUAUAUAUAUAGAUCCUUCCCCUGAGUGGUGGAAAAAGUCACUUUGCUCCAUAACUCCGUGGUAAGCAUUGUGUCCCUCUGAAAACCAUGCCCAGACUAAGUCAAUUAGAGCCAAGUAUUUCCCUUCUAUGCAAAUCAGGCUCUAAUGAAGCCAAGAACAGCUCAGUGCAGUGUUUCCAAAGACUGAGACCAAGGAUGCCUGUUGGCACUUGCCCUCUGUGUGAUCUCAGAGCUAUGAGGAUGCCAUGGGAGCCACGUGGAGUGAGACAGCAGGGUGCAGGCAGGGGAGAUGGGGUUAGGGCAGGCAGAGAACCCCAGUGGGUGAGCACACAGCCUGGUCUCCAGCUGCCAACUGCAACACCUUUGCAAGAAGCUCUCUGAAUCCUGAGCUGGUCCCAUUUUGUGGGCACAAGGUCUUUGAAAUAUCUCAGGCACCAUCUGCCAAGGCACAGCAGACAUAUUUUACAACCAGAUGCAAAUACACCAAAAAUACACCACUACACACAGACACAGAUUUCCUGGAGGGUGGUGGGGAAAGGAGCCCUAGCUCCCCCCACAUUUGCAUUGCUUGAUGUGGUACCUGUGUGCCACCACUGCACCCACACAUCCUUUGCCAAUUCGCCCAGCCCUGACUGCACACACGUGAUGGCUUUUGCAGAAGGAGGUCAGAGGGUUCAUUUGGGGAUAUCCGAACUAUUUCAAACACAUUUCUAACUUAGUCCCAUUCCUUUAUGCUACAGUGGCAUGGGAAAUGCUGCCCCUUUCCCCAUGCAGCACAGCAGAUGCAGAGUCAGGAGUUUGAACACAGCUUCAAGCCAUUGCUGUAGAUGCAUCAGCUUUCCUGGCUUCCCUCGAGUCUCUACCUCGUCGUGCCUCACACAGCCCCCACUCACAGCAGAAGGCUGGAUAAACAUCUCAGACAGUCUGGAAAGGCUGGGGGUUUUUGCUCUACAGCAUUCAGUUGCAGCCCUGUUGGUGCAGGCAGGAGUGCUACCAGUGGUUUCAGCAGCAAAUGGAGAGGGGUGAGGACACCACAUAAACACACAGGAUUAAAUCUUCCCUCCAUGCAACACAGUGCCAGCCCCUGUGGGGAUGACCUGACUUGCAUCUGCUGAAAAUCUAAGCUGUGUUGCUAUGAUCAUUUGGGAUUUCUUUUCUCUCAAGAAAAUAACGUAAUCUCUCAAGAAAACAAAUCCAUCUGAAAAAUAGAAAAAAAAUCACUUUUUUUUUCACAUUAUUUGAAACUGGCACCUUUUUAUGAUAUUUCAUUGGUAUUUUGUGUUGAAAUUAUUGUUAUUUUUGGAAACCAUCAGAAAUACAGCUUUUGGUAGGAAAAUGUAAUAUCUGGCCAAUAAAAGAAUUAUUAUCAAGAUUUCAAGCAGCACACUGAAAAAUCACCUCUAAUUUAAAAAGAAGUAUUAAAAUAUAAUUAGUGAUAAUUUAGUUUCAUAUACUUUCAUUUUAAAAGAGCUUUUAAAAAUCCCCUUUUGUCUAUGAAGCAUCACAAACUUUAAUCUCAUCGUAAAACCAUGCAGGCUGAGGUUUGGGUGUUUUGCCAUCCUCAACCCAUGGCAAGCAGUAGAAAAGGGACUUCUUAACAGAAGGGUUUGUCUGGGACUUCUGGCUCAAUGGUCUCUGAUGGGCACAUCCUUUAUGGCUCUGUCUCAAAUAAAGCACUGACUCUUCUGUGGUUGAGUAAUCCUUAUUCUUUUACUGCAUCAGCUAUCAAUAGGAAAGUCCUCUGUGGAAGUGGAUGUUCAACCAAAAUGGCCAGGCCUGGGAUUUUAGGAUAUACAGUAAGCGGUACCUAUGGUCAGAGCAAGGGAAAUUCAAUAGCCACUUUGGUCCCUUUCAAAAUGUCACUCCUACUUUCAGCAUCCUCCUCCUGAGCUCUUCUCCCCUUGCACCCUCACUAAUGCUCAGUGGCAGUCAGUGCCAUUUCCUCGAGGACUUGGGGACACAAAACACUGGGCAGAGAUGCCUCUGGGAACUCAUGAAACAGGGGUAGUAAAUCCACAACCACCCCAGGAGAGAAGAGAAUCCUUCUUAAUUUAUGCCACCUUCUGACAGCAAGCUCAGAACCUCCAAGGGCUCAGGUCUGAACCUGCCCAAAGUCACCAGUCCUUGCCCUUGACUAAAAAAUCCCAGGCUGUGUUAGGGUGUGGGCUUGCCUCUCUGGUUUACUGCUGCUCAUGUAAAUCCCAGUUUUCUCCUCCUGCUUGUUACACAGAACCCAAAUGCACUUUCCCAGCAUAUUCCCUAAUGCAAAGUCCAACACUUUGCCAGGGUUUGCUCACUCUGGCCGUGCUUGAGCUCUCCCUUGUCACUGCUGGAAUAGUGACAGAUGAAAACCAGGGAGGGAAGAGUGAACCCUGCCAGGGACAGGGGACUGCCCUCCAUGGGUGGUGCCCUCAAUUCCUGGUGACCAUCAGCCUGUGGCAAGGGGGGAAUGUGGGUGUGCAGGGAACAAGGGACAGAACAGGGCUCGAGAGGGUGCUCUGGUGCCUGCACUCACUUCAGGGAAGCCUGGUGGUGCUAGAGGAUCUUCCACAUCCCCAGAUCAGCAGGCCAGAGAUGAAUUACUGGGGACAGCUGAGACAGGAGGCAAAUGGCAUCACACUGAAGCCGAACAAGGCCUGUGACUGUGCGCUGUGGGAUCCUAAAUAUUUGGAGAGCAAAGGUCAGGAGAACAGGACACUUCUCAGAGAUGAUUUUCUUCGCACCCCAGGCAGGGACAUGGAACU